rnacentral:rRNA from 1 species
ANACNUGCAGUCGAGCGGACAGAAGGGAGCUUGCUCCCGGAUGUUAGCGGCGGACGGGUGAGUAACACGUGGGUAACCUGCCUGUAAGACUGGGAUAACUCCGGGAAACCGGAGCUAAUACCGGAUAGUUCCUUGAACCGCAUGGUUCAAGGAUGAAAGACGGUUUCGGCUGUCACUUACAGAUGGACCCGCGGCGCAUUAGCUAGUUGGUGGGGUAAUGGCUCACCAAGGCGACGAUGCGUAGCCGACCUGAGAGGGUGAUCGGCCACACUGGGACUGAGACACGGCCCAGACUCCUACGGGAGGCAGCAGUAGGGAAUCUUCCGCAAUGGACGAAAGUCUGACGGAGCAACGCCGCGUGAGUGAUGAAGGUUUUCGGAUCGUAAAGCUCUGUUGUUAGGGAAGAACAAGUGCGAGAGUAACUGCUCGCACCUUGACGG